UCUAUAAAUUACAGUUUCAGUCCUUAGACUUUCUAAAUAAUUACAGUUUUGUCCGUAUAGUUUCUGAUUAUUACAGUUUGGUUGUCCCUAGAAUUACUAAUAAUUACAGAUUGGUCCUAGAGUUGCUGUAAAUUACCUUGAGGCCAUUAAGUUUCGUUUAUUGUCAUUUUGGUCUCAAAAAUUUUUAAAAUUUGACCAAAAAAUUUUUUUUGUUUUGACCCAAACUUUUUAAUUUUGGCAGUUUGGCCCGUUAACAUUCCCUGAUUUUAAUAAUUACAGUUUUAAUACCGAGAUUCUCUAAUAAUUAUAAGAUUGAUCCCUAAAGUUGCUGUAAUUAUAUUUUUUAAAUUAACGCCAAAGUUUUAAUUAUUUUCAAUUUUCUUUGGCUUUACCAUUUUUUUUUAAUUUUGCCCCCCCCCCCCCCCACACACACAAUUUUUUGGUUUCUUUUUGCCCCUAUUUUGUAUUUUUUUUCCGAUUUUGGCCCAUAUGAAUAAGUACAUCAUCUACCCAUAAUUUUUUUUCUCGAUUUGGCCCCUACUCAUAUACUCAUUUAUCAUCAUUUUUUUUUAAUUUUUUUCACAAUUUUUUGUUGCCACUACUCACAAUUAACUCAUUACCACCAUUUUUUUUUAUUUUGCCCCUACUAAUGUUUUCGUCCGUCUUUACCCCCUACUCACAUUACUCAUAAGAUUAGGUUGUUGGUUGGAUGUUUUGGGCUUAUUUUGAAAACUACCCAUGCAUCGCACGGGUAUUUCUAAUUUGGCCUUUAGUAAAUGUGAGUGAAUAGUAAGGUCAUCUAUUCCCUUUUUUUUUUUAUUUUAACCCCUUUGUAAUUUUUUUUUUGUAAACUCAUUUACCAUAAUUUUUUUUUAUUUUGCCCCUUAGUGACUGUGAUUGAAUAGUAGUUCAUUGUCAACUAUUUUUUUGUUUCAUUUUUUCCCUUGAUAACUUUAUUACCACCAUUUUUUUUUUCGAUUUUGCCCUAUCUCUAUUUUCCUUUUUGAUUUUGGCCCGUAAAAUUACUUCGCCCUGCAUAGCACUGGCAUACCCCACUAGUAGUAUAUAAAGCCACACUAAGACUUGACAAGUAACCACCCCAUUGGCUCUUGUGGCCCCCUGGAUCAUGAAAAUGACCAAUUCUUUAUUAGUGUUUGGUUCAUGAGUAAUUCAAUUUUUUUUUUAUCGCUCUUCCUAAUUAUUGCGCAACAAUGAUUAACGCAGGUAUUUAUAAAUUUUCAUAUAUAUUUUUUAUUUUAAUAAAUUUAUAUAUUUUUAUGAAUAUUUAUAUAUUUUUCACAUAUAAUAAUACAUUUCUUUUUUGGGGGUAAAACAAGGUGCAAUAAUAAUAAUAAUAAUAAUAAUAAUAAUAAUAAUAAUAAUAAUAAUAUCAAAAAUACUCAAAACACAAAAAAACCCUUUUUUUUUAUUAAGUCCAAUUUAUAUGAUUUUGUUCCAUGGAUAUUAUUAGGAAUUUUUUUUAAUAAGUAGUAUUUUUCAUGGCAAAAGACCAUUGGGUCUUAUCAAUUUUUUAUUUGGACAACCAAGUUCUUUUUUAAAAAAUUGGACAAUUAAUUCAACUCAAUAUAACGUUUUGUUAUCUGUUUUUUUGCCUUUAUUCUUUUAAUGAGUCAUGACACUAAAUAAAAAAUAUUAGACUUACGUAAUAGAUAAAAUAAUAUAAAAAAAAUAUAAUGGCAAGAUAUGUUCUAUUUUUAUACCUUGAAUUUCAUAUUUUUAUAUAAAGUUUAGCGAUGUAAUAUCUUAACCAACUUUAAUUUCUUGUAGUGCAAAUAUUUAAAAAAUUAUAUAUACCUAGAAAUUACAUACCUUUUAUAUAAUUUUUUGUUUGAGAAUGAAAAAUACUUCUAAUAGCAUAUUAUUUUCUAAAAAAUGGUAAGAAAAUUGCAUAUGUAUUUUUAAUAUAAAUUAUUAAAACUAAUAUAGAAACCGUAUGUGUAACAAAUAUUAAUAUUACUAUAAAUAAAAAAUAAUUUUUUUGAAUAAAUAAUUAAAAAAUAAAAAUAUUUUAAAUUUAAAAAACUAAAAAUGGUCAUAAACUAAAAUAAAUAUAUUAGUUAAAAAAAUGGUAUAGGUGAAAGCUAAUAUCAUAUUUGAGAAACUUGAAUUUUUUGGUCCAUAGUUUUUAAAAAUAGAACUUAGUUAUCUUAAAAGAAAAUUGAUAGGACUUAAUGGUCCUUUGUCACAAAAAAUAAUACUUAUUGAACCAAUCUGUCUUCCAUAUAGUUUUUGGUAACCUGUUGAAUGGCAACCAGUGUAGCUUCAAAUUCGCACAUUAUCUCCAAGAGGGCCUAGAUUAGUCAUGUACCAGUACAUAAUUUUGGUGUACAGGAUAACCAUAACAUACGAUUCUGGGUUUGUAUAUGCCUCCUCUUGGCUGGGUUUUUGGAGCAUAGGUGUUCCUAUGGAUAAGUGUUAGACAAGGACUCUUUAUUAAGUUUGAUUGUAUUUUGUGGCUAAUUUAGAUAAAAAUGCUUUUGAAGAGGAAAUUGAACUUAAAAGGAGUAAACUUACAUGGACCAACCUGUUAUUAUAUCGGUAAUGAAAAUAAAGUAUGUAAGUUGUUUGAGAUCUUUAUGGCACACCUAGACAAUGGCAUGAAAAAUUUGAUAAAUUCUAGUGGUUUUAAAGCAAAUGGAAGUGAUAAAUGCAUUUACUCUAAAUCUUUUGAGGGUGCUCUUGUGAUAAUUUGCUUGUAUGUUGAUGAUCUUUUAAUUUUUGGUUCUAACAUGAAUGUUAUAGAUGCUACUAAGGUUGUGUUUGACGGGAUUGAAUGAACUCUGUAAAGAAUGGAAUGGAAAUUAGAAUUAAAUGAUGUAGGACUAGUUAUUCUCAUUUUGUAAGGAAUGAGAAUGAAAUGUGCAUUCUUUUAUUACCUUAGGGUAAUGGUUGUAUCUUUGUUCUAGUGAAUGAUCAUUCCAAAUGGAAUAAUUAUUCUAUUAUUUUUUGAUUGACCAAACACUUGAAUGAUUAUUCUAAUAGAAUGACUAUUCUAUUCCAUUUAUUAUUUCAUUCAACCAAACAUAGCCUAAGUUUUUACUUGAAAGUAAUUUUGAUACGAAAGACUUGGGGGAAGCAAAUGUAGCUUUAUCCUUAGCCAGUGGAGAAGCGGGUUGGUUGCGUGACUUGUUAUCUGAAAUUUCCUAUAAGAUCAUAUGUAACCAGUGGCAUUAUUAGUGUGGAUUAUGUUAAAAUUGGAGACAAUCAUGUGGUGGACUGUAGACAAAAUUCUAGCAAAAGAGAAGAUCUAGAUAGCAUAAAGGGGGAUGGAACUUAAGCCUAAAGAAGGAUAAAUUGUCCCCCCACCUAGGGACUGGAGAUCCUAAGAUAGGGCUUAUUCGAUAUCAAGCACAAGGCCGUAAUGUGCAGCCCUAAAAGCUAGCUCAUUGCAGAAUAAUGUGUGUGAGAAGCAAUGUGUGUUCCUUAUAAAAAGUCUCAGUUCAAGACGUAUUAACACUACAUGAGGGUUCAAGCCAUUGGCUCCCUCACUAUGUAUCUUAACCCAUAUAUUCUUUUAAAUUUAUUCAUUUUUUUAGUAAAAAUAAGUGGCGGAUUGUUGGAGUAUUUUCAUAAAAAAAAUAAAUUUUAAUUACUUUCAAUAUCAGAUUUUUACUCCUAAAAUGAUCCCAUUACUGUUUUGAUCAUUUUGAAACUACCUAGCAUAGUUUCAUUCGAAUUUGUUGCACUGAAUUCUUUGAUCUCAUGGCUAAGACAGUAGAAUUUGAUUGGGAUGUUAAUGUCAGAUUUUGGUAUUUGGUAUUUGACCGACCGGUCGGUACUGAAUCACUGAUGAAUUAAAAGAGCUUUUAAGAAUUAAUUAUUAUAUUGAUUUCAAGAAUUAUAGCAAUCUGCUUCUCACCAUCUUCUUUCAGUUUCAGUUUGCUAUUUUAUCUUUGAAAAAUUAUCUGGGUAUAAGAAAGUACUAUUCUGAGAGCUUCUCACUCUCUUGGGAUUUGCAGCUUGGUGGCUGUGCUUGUUGUAUCCUGGGGGACAGCGUGCAUAACAUGGAUCUGCUGUCUCAAGAGAGCGACCUAGUCCGCAACUCAAUCUCUUGCCGGUAAAAAUAAUUGGGUUCAAGUAAUAUUUCUCCAUUUUAAUUACAACAAUUACUGUGUUUUGUAUUUUUGUAUUUAUUGAUUUUUGUUUUUUGGAAUUUGUAAUAGCUAUUAGAAUUAGGUAUGGAAAGUCCAAAACCAAUAGGGGAGGUAUUUCGGGUACACCCGAUACCCGGAUCCUAAAAACAAAAAUUUUUUAAAAAAUAACGAUAGAAACACAAAAAUGAUUCCAGAAACAAAAACAAAAUUUAAUUGGUCGAUUAAAUCUGCAGACAUGAAAAUCCCUUUUUGUAUCAUCAAAAAGAAAAAAUACAAUAUGGGAAUGUAUGGAAAAAAGCUAUAAAGAAAAAAGAAUUUAACCACCAUUAAACAAAUCAGAACACACAAUAAACAAAAAAAAUAAAAAACAUACAACACAUAAAAAUGAAAAUAAAAACAAAAACAGACAUAGAGAUAAAAAGUAGAGAAUGUCGAAUAUCAUUAUAUGUAUGUGUAUCUAUACCCGUUGGGAGGAGAUGAGAGAGAGAGUCGUGCGCUGUGCGGCUGAAAGUUGGGAUGGGAAGGGAAUAAAGAGAAAAUACUAAGACAUAAAUUUGGAACCCCUAUUGAUUCUUAUGAUUUAUAUAUAUAAGGGGUAAAACACUAAAUAUUAAUUGAGUACUAUUUGGGUAUGGGUCGAUUUCGGAUAUUCGAGUAUUUAGGUAUAGCGAUAGUUAUUUCAUACUCGAUUGGAAUCCACUGUGUACUCUAUCCUUCGUACCCUACUCGUCUCGUCGGGUAGAAAAUUGGAUGAGCCCCCAUCAAAUUUGGGAGGAAUUGCUAUCCCUAAGGAAAAGUGGGUAUGGGUCGGUUGUCCACGUAGGCGCCACAUGUUAUUUUUCUAUUAAAAAAAUAGACAUAAUCAAUCAUUGGCCUUAAUUGCAA
rnacentral:lncRNA from 1 species